GGCGUGCUUAAUACAUGCAAGUCGAGCGGACCGACGGGAGCUUGCUCCCUUAGGUCAGCGGCGGACGGGUGAGUAACACGUGGGUAACCUGCCUGUAAGACUGGGAUAACUCCGGGAAACCGGGGCUAAUACCGGAUGCUUGAUUGAACCGCAUGGUUCAAUCAUAAAAGGUGGCUUUUAGCUACCACUUACAGAUGGACCCGCGGCGCAUUAGCUAGUUGGUGAGGUAACGGCUCACCAAGGCGACGAUGCGUAGCCGACCUGAGAGGGUGAUCGGCCACACUGGGACUGAGACACGGCCCAGACUCCUACGGGAGGCAGCAGUAGGGAAUCUUCCGCAAUGGACGAAAGUCUGACGGAGCAACGCCGCGUGAGUGAUGAAGGUUUUCGGAUCGUAAAACUCUGUUGUUAGGGAAGAACAAGUACCGUUCGAAUAGGGCGGUACCUUGACGGUACCUAACCAGAAAGCCACGGCUAACUACGUGCCAGCAGCCGCGGUAAUACGUAGGUGGCAAGCGUUGUCCGGAAUUAUUGGGCGUAAAGCGCGCGCAGGCGGUUUCUUAAGUCUGAUGUGAAAGCCCCCGGCUCAACCGGGGAGGGGCAUUGGAAACUGGGGAACGGGGAAACUUGAGUGCAAAAA
rnacentral:rRNA from 2 species